GCGUGCGUGCGUGCGGAAAUUGAGAUGUAGGAAUGGAUCGCUUCGUUCCUCUUGGUCGAGCUUGACUUGGCACGGGGUAGUUUACAUCGGAGGAGAGAGAAGUCGACUGUGACACAAGUCAAAUAACAAGAACAAGCUGGUCCAUGGCCGGCCAUGUGAUCGCCACUGCCACCGUUGCUGCAGGGAAACAGUGGGUGUAUGUUGCAGAGUUGUGCGCAUCAUCCAACGACAUAUAUGGGAGUUUGAGCUUCUUGGGAACCCCUCCCUGUAUUCUCUCUCUUCCUCACGCUAGGUCCCCCAUGUACGGUGACUUGGCCCGCCGGCCUAUAACAUUCCCCCCC
rnacentral:lncRNA from 1 species